UGAGAGCCUCUUGUUGAACCCUUCCCCAGA
rnacentral:piRNA from 1 species